ACAGGUUAGUUGCUCAGGUACU
rnacentral:miRNA from 1 species